rnacentral:rRNA from 1 species
GACGAACGCUGGCGGCGUGCUUAACACAUGCAAGUCGAACGGAAAGGCCCUGCUUUUGUGGGGUGCUCGAGUGGCGAACGGGUGAGUAACACGUGAGUAACCUGCCCUUGACUUUGGGAUAACUUCAGGAAACUGGGGCUAAUACCGGAUAGGAGCUCCUGCUGCAUGGUGGGGGUUGGAAAGUUUCGGCGGUUGGGGAUGGACUCGCGGCUUAUCAGCUUGUUGGUGGGGUAGUGGCUUACCAAGGCUUUGACGGGUAGCCGGCCUGAGAGGGUGACCGGCCACAUUGGGACUGAGAUACGGCCCAGACUCCUACGGGAGGCAGCAGUGGGGAAGAUUGCACAAUGGGCGGAAGCCUGAUGCAGCAACGCCGCGUGCGGGAUGAUGGCCUUCGGGUUGUAAACCGCUUUCGCCUGUGACGAAGCGUGAGUGACGGUAAUGGGUAAAGAAGCACCGGCUAACUACGUG